ACUCACAAACCGCAAGAGGUUGCCUUCUGUCCAGCGCUAGGAUAAGGCUCACUGUAGGCUGUUAUGUAAGGUGGAGAUGGUUUUGCUCAGACAAACUUUAUUACCAGCACCAAUGAGGGGAACCGAGAAUUCUGAGCCACUGUAGCUGACAUCACAGAACUCCAGCUGCUCUGUGCACUGUAUCCUUUUCUACCUCUGUCCUUAAAUGCUAUUGGAGCCCUUAUAAAAAAAACUGCUGCUGUGUACUUAGAGAGCAACUCUUAUUUUGAGUGAUUCUUUUACCUGAUAAGGCAUUUGGAUAUUUAUUCCUCUAACUCGACUCCAAUCCCCCUAUCUUUUUCGUGUUUGCCCAGGUAAAGAGGAAAAAUCUCCAACCACUCCCAUCUGUUUGCCUCAUCCAGCAGAGCUUCCAGGCCACAGAAGGCUCAAGACUACAAUAUAAUUCCUGAGACUGCCAAGACCUAGGGUCUGUAUAACACGUGUGCCCAGUACCCAAGAAAGCCAGAAGAGGAUAUCAGAACCCCUGGACUGGCAUUACAGACAGUCCUUUUCCAUCACCUCAGUGCUGAGAACUGAACCUCAGUCCUCUGAAAGAGUAGCUAGUGCUCUUAACUGCUGAGACAUCUCUCCAGCCCCCAGAAGACCACGAGAGAAUGCCUACAAGUCACCAAGUGAAAGGCAUCUCUGCUCCUGGUUUGACACUUACAGUCUAGAAAGUUUCCAUGUGUGAUGAACAGGACCUCUGUCUCCCCUUGGGAGCUUAAGCGAGCUGUGGUAGACCACAGGAACCAAUGGAAAUACCUCAUCAUAUUUAUGCUGGAUCACAUUUCACCAUUUCUGACAGAUGCAGCUUUGGGGAAGAACAUUAAUGACCAUGGGGGACACAGUAGUCGUUUGGAGACACCCGCAAUAAAUAGCCAAGAACUAUUUC
rnacentral:lncRNA from 1 species